rnacentral:rRNA from 1 species
AACGAUCGCUGGCGGCGUGCCUAACACAUGCAAGUCGAGCGAGAAAGCCCGCAAGGGUGAGUACAGCGGCGCACGGGUGCGUAACACGUGGGUAAUCUGCCCUGGAGCCCGGAAUAACCUCCCGAAAGGGAAGCUAAUGCCGGAUGAGCCCACGGGGUCUUCGGACCCUGAGGGAAAAGGUGGCCUCUGCAUGCAAGCUAUCACUUCAGGAUGAGCCCGCGGCCCAUCAGCUCGUUGGCGGGGUAAUGGCCCACCAAGGCUACGACGGGUAGCUGGGCUGAGGGGACGAUCAGCCACACUGGAACUGAGACACGGUCCAGGCUCCUACGGGAGGCAGAAGUGGGGAAUCUUGCGCAAUGGGCGAAAGCCUGACGCAGCAACGCCGCGUGUGUGAUGAAGGUCUUCGGAUCGUAAAGCACUGUCGCGAGGGACGAAUAAGGGCCGGGUGAACAAUCCGGUUCGAUGACGGUACCUCGAGAGGAAGCACCGGCUAACUCUGUGCCAGCCGCCGCGGUAACAC